rnacentral:rRNA from 1 species
GUCUUGGGACACUGUCAGGUGGGCAGUUUGACUGGGGCGGUCGCCUCCCAAAAGGUAACGGAGGCGCUCAAAGGUUCUCUCAGUACGGUCGGAAAUCGUACGUAGAGUGUAAAGGCAAAAGAGAGCUUGAUUGCAAGACAUACAGGUCGAGCAAGGAUGAAAAUCGGACUUAGUGAUCCGGUGGUUCUGCGUGGAAGGGCCAUCGCUCAACGGAUAAAAGCUACCCUGGG